rnacentral:rRNA from 1 species
CCGGGCCCUCCCGCGAGAAAUCAGGAGUAUUCGGUUCCGGGGGGAGUAUGGUCGCAAGGCCGAACUUAAAGGAAUUGACGGAAGGGCACCACCAGGAGUGGAAUCUGCGGCUUAAUUUGACAACGCGGGAAAACUCACCAGGUCAGGACACGGUAAGGAUUGACGGACUGAAGGCUCUUUCUCGAUUCCGUGGAAAGUGGUGCAUGGCCGUUUUUGGUUGGUGGAUCGAUCCGUCUGGUUAAUUCCGUUAACGAACGAGACCUCGGCACUCCGAAUAGCGCGGCGGACGUCGCGGCCUCCGGGCCGUCUUCCGCACGAGCUUCUUAGAGGGACCGUCCCCCGCCGGGGAAGGAGGUGCGAGGCAACGACAGGUCUGUGAUGCCCUUAGAUGUUCUGGGCCGCACGCGCAUUACACUGACGCGUCCAACGGGUGACUCCCGACCCGAAGGGGCCGGGGAAUCCGCAAGGCGCGUCGUGAUGGGGAUUGAACGUUGCAAUUGUUGUUCACGAACGAGGAAUUCCUAGUAGGCGCGGGUCAUCAACCCGCGCCGAUUACGUCCCUGCCCUUUGUACACAC